AAACCAUGAUGAGGGCAAUCUCUCUCAUACUCCUUGAAUUGCUCCCAGGCUUCAUAGAAAAAUUCUAUUGGGCCUUGUUGGAAACUUUGUAUCUUUUUUCUCAGUUG
rfam:Eutrema salsugineum unplaced genomic scaffold scaffold_6, whole genome shotgun sequence.